GUUGCACUCAUGAUGUUGUGUGACUUCUCAGCUUGCUGGUUCCCUUGUUCCUAUUGCAAUGAUCUCAUUAUUGGCAUUUUGUUUUCAAAGUGUUAUCUGUCCCAUUUUGCAUUAUGCGUCUGUGUGGCUCGGCCUUAAGGCACUGUCUACCACUUUUCUUUCAACCACACAUCUUCUUAAAGAAUAUUCUGAAGAUGAAACAUCUUCCAUUAGCUUUGUUUUGUUUUAAUUUUUGCGGAAUGGGGGGAAGGAGAAUUCAUGCUCUCAUAAUUAUCUUCUUUAGUUUGAAUGACAGAACUGGACUUCGGGCAUCAGUUUGCAGUGAGAUCCAGACAAAUUGGGUCCAUUCUCUAGACUUGGUUUAAAAAAAAAAUUGAACAGCGUGAAGGAAAUGAGCCACAGGAGCCAUUCUCUUCCUCUUCCCUGGACCCUAGUGCACCUUUUCUUUUGUGCUGUCACUUGGCCCCACUUCUCACAUGACACAGCCUCUUUCCCUGCCCCAGGGGCCCUUUCUGGUUCUGCAGUUCUUUGGGAGUCUGUUGCUUUGUUUGUACCACUCGUUGGACAAGAAACACCAAUCAAAGUCCAGACUCUAAGUUCAUUUUGGCUCUAAUCCAUGCUCUUUUGGCUGUCCCACCCCUCUCUCUCUGUGCAUCACCCUGUUUAUCUCCAUGACCAGAUCCCUAACUCCCCAACAGAAAAUCACAUAUUUUAUAUCUAUCAUUACCCAGCUUCCUCAACCACCCCAUGCACUCAUAAUGAGGUCUUCAAAUAGUUGUUGCUCAUGGGAUUGGUUAAGAAAAAGAUUGGAGAGAAACGGAAUAGAUCUUCAUCUCCACACUGUUUCCUUCAAUCUUAUCAAUUUGUAAUUAUGUGUUUAUUUAUCUUUUUACUUAUUGACUGCUCCCCCUUCCCUCGAACUGUAAGCCUCAUAAAGGCUGGGAAAUGUGUCUGCUUUGUUGACCAAGUUAUGCCCAAUGCUGGCCAAAAUAAACAUGUUUAAUGAAUCUCUGUGGAAUAUAGGAGUGAAUAUAGAGGAGAAGGAGCUUAUUCAGGGUGGAUUUUCGCUCACCCUAAAGAAGUGAAAUGAAAGCAAACUUUGGUGGUUUUUGUUUAACUGUGAGCAAAUUGGUAUGGACUGAGAAAUUCAAUUAACUGUAUUCAUCAAUUUUUGUCUCUGGGGUACAGUCAUGAGAGUAAGACCCAGAAUUCUUGGUCCCACCCCUUUUGUGGCAUUAAAAAAAAAGCCUUGGCAUAUUACACCAACCAGAUUUUUUUCUUUGUCUCAAAGAAGGCUCAGCUGAAUGUUACAUUCCUCCCCCUCAUACAACAAUCAAAAACUCAGAAAACCUCAGCUGCCUCAGAUGAUGUCACAAAACCCUUAAGAAUGCUCACUGCUGAGUUGGGCACAGGUCCAGCAAACACAAUUCUUUCUGCCAGUUAUUCAGGGUCUUUGACAGAUUAGGUGGUCUUUUUUCUUCUUCUUCUUCUUUUUUUCAUCCUCUUAAAAGGCAGUUCAGUUUACCUCUAAGCAAGACAUUAGCUCUGGCUGCCCCAAAUAACAUUUUAAUUGAAGUCUCAGUCCAAACAAAUGCCUGGCCUCUUUAUUAACCCCAACAGUGUAAUUUUUCAACCUAAGACUGAUUCAGGGGGAAACUGUCUCACUUAAACUGCCAUGCAACGGAACAUGGCAGUUUUCCUCAAUCAGUCUCUUUUCUGACCUUAAUUUGAACCUUAAUCUCUUUUAACCAUGUUCUCUUUAUUAGCUGCUCAUAGCCGUGGCACAAUGCUAAUUUUCCUGUUUUUAGACUAUCAGUUUACAGAGGUAUUUCACUCCCCCUCAUGCCCCCAACUGUAACCAAGAUUUCAUGGACCUUCUUGGGAAAGGAAAGGUAAUACUUAUUCUUAACAGUUUUUUAGGAUUAGUAAUUUAAAUAGCUGCUUUGCAAAAGGUUCUGGAGAAUUUUAGACUGUGUGUUUUUGAGAUACAUUAAAGUUUAGGUACAAAAAAAUCAUACACUUCAUUGUCAGAAAAACCUAAAAAAAGCUCCUUUUAAAUGAUUACAAAAGACUUUUCAUCAAUAGACAGGUCCACACAUAAAGUGGAAACUAAGGCUAUUAUCUUAAUAAUUCAGUAAAAAAACAAUAUGUUUUUAUUAGAAACCUCUAAUCUUUUGGGGAGACCUGAAUUAUCCAGAUAAUUGCUUCAAUUCCUCCCUUCAUUUUUAUGCUUAGAUAUAAUCAAUGAGUAACGACAGAGAAAAUCAUUUUUUCUUAAUUAUACCUUCCCAUUUUUUGACGUUGGUAAAAUGAUCCAAAUUAAAAAGAAAAAAAAAAAAGCUCUUUCAAUAACAAUGAAAAAGAAUGUGUUUCUCUAUUUGGAGUCUAUCUUAAUAUAGCAGAACUAUGUAGGUAGGAAAACAGUGCUUAUGAUCAUGUGCUCAAUUAGAUUUAUUAUAGGUUUUUGUACUUUUUGGCAUUAGCAUGAAAGCAUAUUGGUUAUUAUUCUUUAUAACCUAAUUGGAGACUUUGUAACUACUUACCCCUCUGUUCUCUGCUUAAUACAAUAGUUUGUUGAUUGCAAGAAUUACAUUUCUGUGACUUUAAAGUCCUAGAACUGGGAUUGUCAUUGAAAGUUGGAGAUUCAGGCUGGUCUUUGGAGGGCAGGGCCCAUGUGCCCUCUGGGUGUGAGGAGGUAGGCAGCUGGGAACAAUUGUCUGUUCCCUGCGGUGUUCAGUGGCAUUAGCAGCGUGUUGGCACGAUAAACUUUGCCUUCAUUUCACUGGCUCAAACAAUUAGUGGGAUUGAAUCAGAGUUCUCCUGGAUCAUAGUUUAUUAUAUGUUAUUAAAUUCCAUUAUUCAAGAAGUUGCUGCUACGAUUAUGAAACUUCCCAGCAUCUCCCACAAAGCCCCCAUCUCCAUUCCCUGUGUAUUUUCUUUUACAUUUAUCUUUUGCUUCUCUGAUAGACAAGGUUUGUUUUUUCUUUUUCUUCCCCCUUGGGACUUAUUUAAAGAGCUAAGAGCUAAUUUGAAAAUACAUCUUGAAAGGACAACAAAAAUGAGAUGUGAAAAAAAUGGAUGAAGAUUCUUAAUUAGUCCGUUAUUUGACACGCACGAUUUAACAUGGUAUGCUUAGCAUUGUGCAUUCCCCAAAAGAACAAGGCUCUUUUUUUUUUUAUCCCAAACUUUAACUCCCUCUCAUUCAUUAUAUCCCUUCUUGUCACUUUCCAUUAGCCGAUCAUGACAUCCUUUGCUGGAAGGGCGAGCAAGCAGAUUACUUCCAAACUGGUGACAGAAGAGCUCCUUGGCACUGGAACCCUCCUGGUCUGGUGAGGGAGGAAUGAGGAUACACAGGCGCCAUCCAAAACUUCCUAUGUUCAGAUUGAGGAAAGAGGUGGGCCAGGCCUUUGGAUUCUCAUUACCUAAGGACGGUUCUGACUGUGAGAGCAAAUCACAGAAGGACAACCUUGAUGUCACCUGUAUAUAGAAGAUGUAGAGCCAUUAUCUGGAAAGAAUCUGGAUUCCUGAUUCACUGCUUGGAGGAGAGCAGCCUGGGACAGCUGCCCAACCAGGAAUAGUCACAUUACACUUUUUGUGUAACAUAUAAGAAAUAAACUUUCA
rnacentral:lncRNA from 1 species